UACGAAGGGUGACGAAGCGUUACUUCGGAAUUACUGGGCGUAAAGGGUGCGUAGGUGGUUGUUUAAGUCUGUUGUGAAAGCCCCCCGGCUCAAUGGGGAGGGUCACGCGAUACUGGUCGACUCGAAGGCAGGAGAGGGUAGUGGAAUUCCCGGUGUAGUGGUGAAAUGCGUAGAUAUCGGGAGGAACACCGGUGGCGAAGGCGGUUCUCUGGGCCUUACCUGACGCUGAGGAGCGAAAGCGUGGGGAGCGAACAGG
rnacentral:rRNA from 1 species